GGAGACGGCUUUACAAAAUUGCAUGACGAGUCCAAGUUAAGAUCCUGCAUCAUGGCAAUACACAGCCAAAAAUGAUUUGUAGAUAACAAAAAAACAUGCUUGGCAACGAUAGAGUCUAGCUCCGAUCUGUUGGAUGAAAGAGUGGCAAUAAAAAGGAAACACAUAAAUGGUUUUGUUUCAAUCCUUCUAUGUAAGGCAUUUGGCUGCGUUUUAGUACUAAAUUACACUAUUGUAUACAUUCCUCUUCAUAAAAUAUAUAUAUAUAUAUAUAUAUAUAUAUAUAUAUAUAUAAUUAUUGUGUUUCUUCUGGAAAGCUUUGUUUAAGUAUUAGUUGGAUUUGGAUUUGAGAUAAUCUAUGUUUAUAAAUUGUUUUCAACAAGAAA